CAAUGAAUUUUAGCGGAUCCUUUGGCUCAAUAUACGCCGACAGUGCCACUCCGAAGAAUGCUGAAAACCAAACAGAAAAUUUGGGUUUGAUGAACUGAGGGAUCGAUGACGGUUUAGGUUUAUUUCUGAGAUGAGGGUAACUAGUCUCUUCUCUGGUGAACGUAUGGAUUCUUGGCCAGGUUUGGUGACCGGACCAAAGAAAAAAUCCAAAUUGGAUUACCUCCCCUCACCUACCCUUUAUUUUUUCACCUCAAGGAAAGAUUAUUCAAUUCAUGUCAAAUUUGUUAUUAAAAUAAGGGUUUGUAUUUCAUUUGGAUUUUACUGUAAAGUAUGAGAUUAUUUAUUUAGACUUAAAAGUUAAGAGAGACUAUAGCGUUUGCUUUUUCAUUUAUGUUUUAUUUCUAAAGCACUCCCAUUAUAACGUAAUUAUGUGGUUAGUUCAAUUAGUAACCUAGAAUACCUAACAUAGGGCCCAAAGAACCUUCAUUUUGUUGAGAGCCAGACAGUUACAAUUCGAGCAAGCUUUCAAAGCCCUAGUUUCUUUGAGUUUUACCAUUAAUAGUGAAGAGAAAUAAUACUUUAUUUGGCACUUGUUCUGAUAAAUGCGCUAAAAAUAGAUCAGUAAAUGAGAGGAAGAUGAUGAAUACUUGGGAACUUUUUCAAGUACUUCACUCAUCUACUAACUGGAUAUUUUCCUAACUC